rnacentral:rRNA from 1 species
GGGUUGUGAGGUUAAGCGACUAAGCGUACACGGUGGAUGCCCUGGCAGUCAGAGGCGAUGAAGGACGUGCUAAUCUGCGAUAAGCGUCGGUAAGGUGAUAUGAACCGUUAUAACCGGCGAUUUCCGAAUGGGGAAACCCAGUGUGAUUCGUCACACUAUCAUUAACUGAAUCCAUAGGUUAAUGAGGCGAACCGGGGGAACUGAAACAUCUAAGUACCCCGAGGAAAAGAAAUCAACCGAGAUUCCCCCAGUAGCGGCGAGCGAACGGGGAGGAGCCCAGAGCCUGAAUCAGUGUGUGUGUUAGUGGAAGCGUUUGGAAAGGCGCGCGAUA